UGUGAGAGCGAGCCUGCUCGCGAUAGCGGUGUGUCAGUCAACGAAGAUGCUGAAUGUCAUUGCGCUAUCGCGAGCAGGCUCGCUCCCACA
rnacentral:misc_RNA from 1 species